UACGUAGGGUGCGAGCGUUAAUCGGAAUUACUGGGCGUAAAGCGUGCGCAGGCGGUUUUGUAAGCCAGAUGUGAAAUCCCCGGGCUUAACCUGGGAAUGGCAUUUGGGACUGCAAGGCUUGAGUGCGGCAGAGGGGGGUAGAAUUCCACGUGUAGCAGUGAAAUGCGUAGAGAUGUGGAGGAACACCGAUGGCGAAGGCAGCCCCCUGGGUCAAGAUUGACGCUCAUGCACGAAAGCGUGGGGAGCAAACAGG
rnacentral:rRNA from 1 species